rnacentral:rRNA from 1 species
CCUACGGGUGGCAGCAGUGAGGAAUAUUGGUCAAUGGACGCAAGUCUGAACCAGCCAUGCCGCGUGCAGGAAGACGGCUCUAUGAGUUGUAAACCGCUUUUGUACGAGGGUAAACGCAGAUACGCGUCUAUGUCUGACAGUAUCGUACGAAUAAGGAUCCGCUAACUCGUGGCCAGCAGCCGAGGUAAUACGGAGGAUUUAAGCGUUAUCGGGAUUUAUUGGGGUUAAAGGGUGCGUAGGCGGUCGGAUAAGUUAGAGGUGAAAUCCCGAGGCUCAACUUCGGAAUUGCCUAUGAUACUGUUCGGCUAGAGAGUAGUUGGGGGAGGCGGAAUGUAUGGUGUAGCGGUGAAAUGCUUAGAGAUCAUGCAGAACAC